ACCGGGUUGGACUAGCCUCUAGUGAAUCUGUUGUUCCGCCAGGGGCAUUGCAGAGUAGCUACGCUGGGAAUAGAUAAGCGCUGAAAGCAUCUAAGUGCGAAACUAGCCACGAGAUGAGAAUUCCAUAUAGGACCGUAGCAGACUACUACGUUGAUAGGUUACAGAUGUAAAGGUUGUGAGAUCAAAGUCGAGUAAUACUAAUCAUCCGAAGCUUUCAAGAG
rnacentral:rRNA from 2 species